UCCCUGGUGGUCCAGUGGUGAGGACUCUGCUUUCACUCCAAGGACCCAGGUUCAAUCCCUGGAUGGGGAA
rnacentral:tRNA from 1 species